GGAAGUGAAAGUCGUAACAAGGUUUCCGUAGGUGAACCUGCGGAAGGAUCAUUAUUGAAUGAAACACUUCUGGCUUUAUGCUGUUGUGCUGGCCCUUUGGGCAAUGUGCACACGGCUCUGGUCACUUGUUUCUUCUGUUCCACCUGUGCACUGCCUGUAGACACGCUGUGUCUAUGAUAUUUGUUAACACACAACAAUGUUAGUUGGCAUGUUAUAUAUAAUAAUAAAAUAUACAACUUUCAACAACGGAUCUCUUGGCUCUC
rnacentral:misc_RNA from 1 species